GAUACGUUACUGCUAUGACUCCAGCGGAGGGAUACAUUACUGCUAUGACUCCAGCGGAGGGAUACGUUACUGCUAUGACUCCAGCGGAGGACGUGUCUAGGUCGGAGUACCGAGCCCAGUCAGUAAGCUGUAUAGUCCCACUUCAGUCCCCCAUUGUUUGUAUUUAAAUUGGAACUAAACCUUCUCAAGCAGCCGUUCUGUUCCAGUCUAAUCUCCAUUUAUGUCUUUGGGCUGGCAUGGGAAAGCUGUUCCUCAGGUGAGAUGCAUCACUGCACGCUUCCGCCUCAUUCCACCCCAUAAUUACACCAUGCCGUGCACCUGGACGAGGUGCGGCGAGGGGUUGCAUCAUCUCCAGAUAUGUGGGAGGACCUUCUCUUGACAUGACUCAAACUCCUCCACCUGUCGUUUCUACACGUCCAGAGGUGUUACCUUUCCAAAGGUAGCGGUCCCCGAGCCCGGUGAUGUGUCCGAUGUUCUGCCGAGAGAGUCCUGCGAUGCGGGCGGUGAAGUCCAGGGUGAAGGCCAGCUGGACCAGCUCCGGCGCCGUUGGCAGGACGGACGUGGGGGUGGGGCGGGGCGAGGCCUCCUUCUCCAGGUAGGCGUCGGCCAACCUCUGGAAGGAGGAGUAGGACAUCCCUUGGAAGAAUUUCCUCAGGGCUUCGUUGUCUCUUAUCUGGAGGGAAACACUUGUUUGUCAAGCAAACUACUUCCUGUUUGUUGCUCUUCAAGGUCCUGAGGAGCUGGGGCCUAUCCCACUUUACUUCCUGUGCAAGUCACUGUGCAUUUGGUGCCCAUUCAUGUAUAUAUACAUAUACACACACAUGUACAUAUACGUAUACAUACCCCGUUUCCAUAUGAGUUGGGAAAUUGUGUUAGAUGUAAAUAUAAACGGAAUACAAUGAUUUGCAAAUCAUUUUCAACUCAUAUUCAGUUGAAUAUGCUACGAAGACAACAUAUUUGAUGUUCAAACUCAUAAACUUUAUUUAUUUUUUUGCAAAUAAUAAUUAACUUAGAAUUUCAUGGCUGCAACACGUGCCAAAGUAGUUGGGAAAGGGCAUGUUCACCACUGUGUUACAUGGCCUUUCCUUUUAACAACACUCAAUAAACGUUUGGGAACUGAGGAAACUAAUUGUUGAAGCUUUGAAAGUGGAAUUCUUUCCCAUUCUUGUUUUAUGUAGAGCUUCAGUCGUUCAACAGUCCAUAGUCUCCACUGUCGUAUUUUACGCUUCAUAAUGCGCCACACAAUUUCGAUGGGAGUCAGGUCUGGACUACAGGCGGGCCAGGAAAGUACCCACACUCUUUUUUUUAAGAAGCCACGCUGUUGUAACACGUGCUGAAUAUGGCUUGGCAUUGUCUUGCUGAAAUAAGCAGGGGCGUCCAUGAAAAAGACGGCGCUUAGAUGGCAACAUAUGUUGUUCCAAAACCUGUAUGUACCUUUCAGCAUUAAUGGUGCCUUCACAGAUGUGUAAGUUACGCAUGCCUUGGGCACUAAUGCACCCCCAUACCAUCACACAUGCUGCCUUUUGAACUUUGCGUCGAUAACAGUCUGGAUGGUUUGCUUCCCCUUUGGUCCGGAUGACACGAUGUUGAAUAUUUCCAAAAACAAUUUAAAAUGUGGACUCGUCAGACCACAGAACACUUUUCCACUUUGCAUGAGUCCAUCUUAGAUGAUCUCGGGCCCAGAGAAGCCAGCUGCGUUUCUGGGUGUUGUUGAUAAAUGGCUUUCGCUUUGCAUAGUAGAGCUUUAACUUGCACGUACAGAUAUAGUGACCAACUGUAUUUAGUGACAGUGGUUUUCUGAAGUGUUCCUGAGCCCAUGUGGUGAUAUCCUUUAGAGAUUGAUGUCGGUUUUUGAUACAGUGCCGUCUGAGGGAUGAAAGGUCACGGUCAUUCAAUGUUGGUUUCCGGCCAUGCCGCUUACGUGGAGUGAUUUCUCCAGAUUCUCUGAACCUUUUGAUGAUAUUAUGGACCGUAGAUGUUGAAAUCCCUAAAUUUCUUGCAAUUGCACUUUGAGAAACGUUGUUCUUGAACUGUUUGACUAUUUGCUCACGCAGUUGUGGACAAAGGGGUGUACCUCGCCCCAUCCUUUCUUGUGAAAGACUGAGCAUUUUUUGGGAAGCUGUUUUUAUACCCAAUCAUGGCACCCACCUGUUCCCAAUUAGCCUGCACACCUGUGGGAUGUUCCAAAUAAGUGUUUGAUGAGCAUUCCUCAACUUUAUCAGUAUUUAUUGCCACCUUUCCCAACUUCUUUGUCACGUGUUGCUGCCAUCAAAUUCUAAAGUUAAUGAUUAUUUGCAAAAUCAGUUUGAACAUCAAAUAUGUUGUCUUUGUA